UAUUAUUAUAUUUAUUAUUAUUAUUUUUAUUAUUAUUAUUCUUAUUAUUACAAUUAUUAUUGUUGUGUUGGUGGAGGAUAGUGAGGUUAAUUUUGAGAAGCAAGCAAGAACAGGUAUUAUGGUCCAAUGUUGUGUGAAAAUCAUGAUGGCAAGAGUGCGUGGAAGGAGCUGCUGUGAUUGCUGUGUAUUGACCAGCUGGAAUUUAAUCAUAAUCUCAUAUUCUCUUUGCCAGGUUUUGGUUCCACAAUGCCAAGUAAUCAUGGGAAUUUGUGUAUUCUUGCAUUACUCUAGUCGUGAUAUUGGUGUUUAGUCUUUUUUAUCUGGAUAUCAACAUUGNUAACCCNUUUACAGAUUGCUGAUUUCUGUUAAUUAACUGUUCUUCUUUGACCUAAGUAGUUAAACUAGGAUUGAUAACCUUAGAGAAAUUGUCUUUUUAGUUUUGAGUGCAUAGUAUAUGACUUUUAUGCUUGUUUGAUUUUUGUAGCAGCUAGGAAACCGAUGUUAUUUUCCCCCUUUUUCAGUAGUUUAGCAUCUUUUAGACUAUUGUUAUAAUAAUUAUUAUUAUUAGAGGCAAAACACAUAACUAAUAGAACUUGAUUUCUUGGUAGGUGGUUAGAGUGUGGCUCUUGAAACUCGUGAGUUNGGAGUGCACUUUUUUCAUAUGUGAUUGUCUAUCUAUGCUUGAUAAAUGUUGAUAACUGACUAUUUUGAUUGGGAUAUGAAUUUGAUUUGUUUUUUAAAUUGUUGAGUUUAUAUUCCUCAAUAGAUAUAUGAGGGGGAGCAUGUUCCGUGUUUGUGAUGUUGAGUUUAUCGUCUUUCUUCAGAUAGUUGAUUAUUUCACAGACAAUGAACAACAAAGAUGGAAUACCAGUCACUCAGCAGGCAGAGAGCACGAUUGUCCCUAAGACAAUCAUAUUAGUGGUGCUAUGUGGAUUUUCUUUCUAUACAUACAGGUAUAAUCUUCUGUUCUGAGAAGGACAGAUUUUUGUCAAUAUAUGGCCAGAUAUCCAUAGGGUUCCCCGCGGAGUUAUCAAUAAGUCCUCUCCAAAUUAAAUACAUUAGUUUUCCAGAAUGCAGUAUUACUUUCAAGAUUACACUCCAUGCACANAUCCAAGGGUAAUGUUACUGAUUGUAGUCCAUUUUUUCGUGUUAUAGGACUUGUAGAAGAAAGUUUUCUUAUUGAUUACGUAUGCUUAAACUUAUAGAGAUGGAAGAAGUACAUAAACUUGGGAUUUGGAAAGUACUUGUGUGGUUGGUGGUAGCCUGUUGGAUCGUGGGAUUCUAAUUGUCUCUCUUGCACCAAGGGAUAACCAUCGAGCUCAGAUUCAAUCUGCUCUAGAGCGUGGUAUCCCUGCAGUUCUUGGUGUCAUUUCUACACAGAGACUUCCAUUCCCAUCAAACUCCUUUGAUAUGGCUCAUUGCUCCAGAUGUCUAAUCCCAUGGACAAAAUUUGGUACUUCUUUNUGGGGAUUUUGAACUUUAGAAUUUAUUCCUUUUUAUGCAACUCUUCUUGUGAUCAUGAACUUCAGUAAUUACCAGUUUGUAGCUGCCUAAGUUCAGUGCUUUCAUACUAUGCUGGCAUAUAGUUUUCAAUGGAAUUUUUAGAUCUUAAUCUGACA